rnacentral:lncRNA from 1 species
UGUUCCGGGGUCGUGAGGUCAGCAGUUGCCUCCAUGUGUUAGGAACAUGGAGACCGAUGUAAUAGUCAACCUUCUUGCCUCAGUUUCAGUGUUCUUCUUAAGGGUAUUGAGAAAGUGCAAAAUGUAAUCAGUGACUGCCAACCAUGACCCAAAUGUAAAAAAUGUACUUAUGAUGUAUGAAGCCUUGAGGUCAGUUGAUGAAAGAAUGGUAUUGCUACAGGAAAUUGUUCUAUAGGCAUGUGUUAGAAAUAGUCAAGAAUCUUGUCUUCUAGUUUUUGUGACUCUUGGUAUUUCUUUUAGUUUUACUAGAUUAUUGAUGUAUUAUUCAAUGAUAUAAAUGAAGAAAAUGAGAGCCAAGCCUGGAUUAAUGAUGUCCACUGGUGGCAUAAUGGACGUGCCUUCACUGACCUACGUGUUUGCAAGUUCCAUGGCUGCCGCAGUGUUUGGAGCAUGGAGACCGAUUGAGUUGAUGAAUUAAUCUAUCAAUAAAUGAAGAUAUGAAUAAAGAAAAAGAG